rnacentral:rRNA from 1 species
GACGAACGCUGGCGGCGUGCUUAACACAUGCAAGUCGAACGGAAGGGCCCUGCUUUUGUGGGGUGCUCGAGUGGCGAACGGGUGAGUAACACGUGAGUAACCUGCCCUUGACUUUGGGAUAACUUCAGGAAACUGGGGCUAAUACCGGAUAGGAGCUCCUGCUGCAUGGUGGGGGUUGGAAAGUUUCGGCGGUUGGGGAUGGACUCGCGGCUUAUCAGCUUGUUGGUGGGGUAGUGGCUUACCAAGGCUUUGACGGGUAGCCGGCCUGAGAGGGUGACCGGCCACAUGGGGACUGAGGUACGGCCCAGACUCCUACGGGAGGCAGCAGUGGGGAAUAUUGCACAAUGGGCGGAAGCCUGAUGCAGCAACGCCGCGUGCGGGAUGACGGCCUUCGGGUUGUAAACCGCUUUCGCCUGUGACGAAGCGUGAGUGACGGUAAUGGGUAAAGAAGCACCGGCUAACUACGUG